AUUUAUUGAGAAUGAACACAGUUGUUAGAACCUACGAGAAUUCUGAACUCUUAAUAAUAACAACAGCAGCCACCACCAGCCCCAUCAGGCCCCAGAAACUCAAACUGGGUAGUGCUCAGGCUGGGGGCCCAGGGUUUCCAACUUUUCCCUCUCUCCAGGGCACCUUGUGGGCAGAUGCUGCCUGCAAGCCUAUAGUUACUCCUUUCCCCAGCACUGAGGUUCUCUCUGUAGAAAAUGUCCCCGGUAAGUAAGCACUGACAGGUUUGCCUGUUAAAGGGUCUGGUGCAGCCAGAGUAAAGCUGGGCAGGCAGUCAGGAGGCCAUGAAACCUCCAGUCACUUCACCUCCCUGGACCUUUAUCUCCCCUGCUGUGAGAAGGGUGGGUGGGCCUGGGUGGCCUCAGAAGCCCAGGGCCCUCUGGAGCUUGGUGAUGCUAAGGCGCUGGUUGGAGCCUGCACUCGUGGAAACCCACACCUCUGGGUAAUGGGGGAGUCUGGGGCUAGCAGAGCCCAGAGCUCAUUUCAUCCUCCUCUCCUCCCUCUCCAGGAGGACUGCUCAGGCAGCUGAGGCAAGAGACUCCUGUCGCGAAGCUGUUGAGGAGACUCGGAGACUCUGGGCUCCCGCUAGGAGCAAGCAGGCGCGGUGCAGCGAGGCGAAGCCCAGGCGCGGGGCCCGGAACGCGGUGGUGCAGCUCCCCGGUCCCCGGGUCUCUGACCGCGGUGCUCUCUCCCGCCCCGGGCUGCGCAGCUGCUGACAGCUCCUGGGUGAUGGCGAACGGCUUGUGCUGUCACAUUUCCUUCCUGUAGGGAGGGGGUGGGGAGCUGGAGCCUGGAAGGGCCGGGACGGGGAGGGAGACUACCCAGGUGGAAGGCGGUGCAGAAGGUUGCUGGAGAGAAGACGCCCCGGGCAAUUUCUAGUGACGUCGUCUAGGCCGUAUCUACCUUCUGGGGUCAGGAGUCUUGCUACACCCUAACCCCGCCUCCUCCAGAGUCCUCCCAGGGUUUUUCCAGGGACCUGGUCAGCUUGAGGUCUUGGCAGCACUUGAAAAGCAGCGGUGGUUUUUGAUUUAGUUGUUUAAUUUUUAUUUUUAAAUAUUACAGUGGAAAGAACGUGGACUUUGGAGUCCCAUAGCCCUGGACUCCAAUUCGGUGGGUCGAAUACCUAGCUUUGUGACCCUUUGUGACACUCAACUGAGCUUCGUUUCACGACAGCUUUUUUCCCAUGGGGCUGCUGUAAGGCUUAGAUGCAAUAAUGGAGGUGAGGUUGCCCAGUCGGUAGCCUAAGACCCAGCGCUAGUGUCGGGGGAAUGUGCACUUGACCUCAACCAGUGAAGGCGAAGGAUAAGCUUCCAGGCCCUAAACCCGAGGGUCUCAGGCCAGGAGGC
rnacentral:lncRNA from 1 species